UUCUAAAAAAUAACGAUAUUUUGUUUCGGCCAAAAUUAGGGAAGUUUUCCUUUAGAAU
rnacentral:tRNA from 1 species